AGCUGGACAAGUACUGGUCUCAGCAGAUUGAAGAGAGCACCACAGUGGUCACCACGCAGUCUGCUGAGGUUGAAGCUGCUGAGGUGACACU
rnacentral:pre_miRNA from 1 species